rnacentral:rRNA from 1 species
AUGAAAUUUUAACAGAUCCCUUCGGGGUGAAGAUAAAAUGGAUCAGUGGCGGACGGGUGAGUAACACGUGAGUAACCUGCCUUAGACAUUGGGAUAGCCUCGGGAAACCGGGAUUAAUACCGAAUAAAAUCACAGAUACACAUGUAUCCAUGAUCAAAACUCCGGUGGUCUAAGAUGGACUCGCGUCCCAUUAGCUAGUUGGUGAGGUAACGGCCCACCAAGGCGACGAUGGGUAGCCGGCCUGAGAGGGUGAACGGCCACAUUGGAACUGAGAAACGGUCCAAACUCCUACGGGAGGCAGCAGUGGGGAAUAUUGCACAAUGGAGGGAACUCUGAUGCAGCGACGCCGCGUGAACGAAGAAGGCUUUCGAGUCGUAAAGUUCUUUUAUAUGGGAAGAUAAUGACGGUACCAUAAGAAAAAGCCCCGGCUAACUACGUGCCAGCAGCCGCGGUAAUACGUAGGGGGCUAGCGUUGUCCGGAAUCACUGGGCGUAAAGGGUUCGCAGGCGGAAAUGCAAGUCAGAUGUAAAAGGCAGUAGCUUAACUACUGUAAGCAUUUGAAACUGCAUAUCUUGAGAAGAGUAGAGGUAAGUGGAAUUUUUAGUGUAGCGGUGAAAUGCGUAGAUAUUAAAAAGAAUACCGGUGGCGAAGGCGACUUACUGGGCUCAUUCUGACGCUGAGGAACGAAAGCGUGGGUAGCAAACAGGAUUAGAUACCCUGGUAGUCCACGCUGUAAACGAUGAGUGCUAGGUGUCGGCUUAAGUCGGUGCCGCAGUUAACACAAUAAGCACUCCGCCUGGGGAGUACGUGCGCAAGCAUG